CUGGGUUCUGUUGUUGGCAACCAACAGAGUUGUUGUCUUUUCUCGCAUUCAUUAAAAUGCACAAGAAGAAAUUUCUAAUGGUGAGGGAGUACUUGCUUCAAAUUCAUACUUCAGUGAAAUAAACAACACCAUACAUAGGAAUGUGAAAGCAAAGUCAUCAUACACUGUUUGCUUCAUUGUAUGAGAAUCAAUGUUUGCAUGAUAAACUGCCCUAAUGGAAGAGGACUCUGAGUUACCUUUUUCGAGCAAAGCCACCUAGGUUACUCUGUUUUCCCCAGAGUGACCCUUCUGUUCUGCAAAUUUUCAGAUUGAAGGGAGUAGCAGUAGAGUAUCAGAAGUAUCAGAAGCAAAAAAGUAAAUGUAUGAUUUGCAAAGCAUAACAAAAUGAAAAAUAAGCUUCUGCAGUCAUGGAAGUUCAGAAUUGGAUAACAACUUAGAUUAUUUAUUCCAACCUCAUCGAAAAAGAGAUAAAGACAUGGAAUUCAGGAAAAGUGAAAUCUACUUAAAUGUACCAAUCACAGCAGAGUCUUUUGGAACUUAAACAUCUUGACUCUUCUGUUUAAAGCCUAAAUCAACCUGAGAGAAGCCAAUCCGUGUCUUCUGAAAGAAGAGAUUAAUCCGUUAACUUUCAAUGUUGUUAUUGG
rnacentral:lncRNA from 1 species